rnacentral:rRNA from 2 species
UGGCGAACGGGUGAGUAACACGUGAGUAACCUGCCCUUGACUUUGGGAUAACUUCAGGAAACUGGGGCUAAUACCGGAUAGGAGCUCCUGCUGCAUGGUGGGGGCUGGAAAGUUUCGGCGGUUGGGGAUGGACUCGCGGCUUAUCAGCUUGUUGGUGGGGUAGUGGCUUACCAAGGCUUUGACGGGUAGCCGGCCUGAGAGGGUGACCGGCCACAUUGGGACUGAGAUACGGCCCAG